UCGUCAGCGGCACGGAAUUCGCUGAUCAGCUCCUCGUUCUCGUUGGCGAUGCGGGUCAGGUCCUGCUCCAUUUUCCGCUUUAUGACAGUCAAGCUGUGGUUCUGAUGGAGGAAGAAUACAGUCGGACUCAACAGCUCGGACACAGCGCCCAGGAGCGCGUACCUGCACGUGAAGUUCGUUGUGGCGCUCGGUGAUUUCCACCAGCUCCUGCUCGAUGAGCUUGCGGGAGCGCUCGGAGGCCUCCAGCCCGCUGCGCACCUCGUCCAGCUCCGUCUGCAGGAGGCUGAGGCGCCGUUCCUGCAGGCUGUAUUGCUCCCUCAGCUCCUCAAACUGACGGGCAUCCUCAUCCAUCUGCACCUGCAUGUCCUGCCGGCCAGGAUGGGGGUGAAAAAUGCUGACUGUCCCUCUCUACCUUGAUCUGCUGCUGGAGUCUCUUGAGAGUCUUGACCAGCUCGCUGUUAUUCUUGUUGGCAUGGUCCAGUUGGA